UGCUAUGGCUCAGUUGGUAGAGCGUCGCCUUGGUAAGGCGGAGGUCACGGGUCCGAAUCCCGUUAGCA
rnacentral:tRNA from 1 species